rnacentral:piRNA from 2 species
UGACACUUCCGAGAAGACAGGGUUCAGC